CAGAGCCACCCAGAGCAACCCAGAGCCACCCAGAGCCACCCAGAGCCACCCAGAGCCACCCAGAGCCACCCAGAGCCACCCAGAGCCACCCAGAGCCACCCAGAGCCACCCAGAGCCACCCAAAGCCACCCAGAGCCACCCAAAGCCACCCAGAGCCACCCAGAGCCACCCAGAGCCACCCAGAGCCACCCAGAGCCACCCAGAGCCACCCAGAGCCACCCAGAGCCACCCAGAGCCACCCAGAGCCACCCAGAGCCACCCAGAGCCACCCAGAGCCACCAAGAGCCACUCAGAGCCACCUUAUAAUGGUGGUGGCUAGAAACCACACAAGCUCUCCGAUAUGAUUCACGGUUUUAAAAAGUGUUUCCUUGUCAAAGAUAUGCUGAUAUUCCCCUUUAUUCCCCUAUAUUUUUUCGAUUCUCAGUUUCCCCUCAUUCUCUCUGAUGAGACUGAUAAUAAACUUUUGGCAUUUCGAUAAUGGCGUGGGUAUGGUGAUACUCCUAGCCUCGUGUCGUAUCGGAUUUCAUGUCAUGUCGUACUAGCUCAGCGUAGCAUGAACUAAUGCAGUGCUGCCACGCAAAAUCAGGACUAUUGUUCGAAAAAAUUGUUUGAGAUAGGAAGAUGUUUUGUUUCUUUAAUUGGAUUCACAUGGACCUAAUCUCACAAAUUACGCUCUGAUAGAAAAGCAAUCUUGAAAAAAAUUGCAAAGGCGUCGUAUUUGUUGCAACGAUUUCAAAACUGUGUGUCUAUCUCAGACCAUUAGGAGCGCAGAAGUAGGGAGGAUCUGAGGGGCUUAACGAAGCCCCCAAAAAUAUGCAUUACUAAGAAAUCCUACAAAGAUACAUCCCCUUUAUAGAUACAUCCUUUGAAAAAGAGCAAAAUUUAGGGAAAUCCCGAUGCUUUAAAAAAUAUUGUAGGAGGAGAUAGCCACCUGAUCCCCGACUUUAAUAGCCAUAAUUUGAAAAUGAAGGCCUUUAGUUAAAACGUAAACAAGUUUACUUUAUCCUUUUUUACUACUCUUUGCAGUGUCCUUUUGGCAACACAGGUUCUUGUAAAAUAUAUUCAACAUAAUGAUAGACUUGGGGAAUGUCUUCUAUACAUGACGUUAACUGCGUUUACUAUACUAGGCAACAUACGGAAACAACAUGAAACGAUUUGUGACUUUGCAAAAACGACUAGAUCUCCAAAACUCCAAAAUGAGGCAAGUCUAUCCAUCCACGUGGGCAUUGUCAUCUUCUUUGCAGUGGCCUAAGUGUUCGGUCAUAUCGUUCUCCACCGCAAUAGCUGUUGUCUUAGACGAGGCUACGGAAACCCAGUGAUAAUGCUUACUUAUGUUUCUACAACGCUAGUUUUAGCAAAAGAAACAGAAACUAAAAGAACAAACUCCAAUAUACUAGUGGAACAAGCUGCAUAGGUUGCCAAUCUACUCCUUAACAAUGGUUGGGGUGGGGGCCUAACCCCAAAGCCUCUUUAGUGUUUUGGUAAGUUCCUAAACAGUUUGAAUCAGGGAAAAAACAAAGUAUGGCUUGAUUAUUAGCUGAGAUUUUAAAUUGCUUUAUUUCGACCUUCCUGGUAGUUGUUCCAUGUUAAUCACAGAUGCCAGUGAGGUUUGCUCUUGCAAUGCUGGCAUUUCAUGUCAAGCUUUCCAGGGGCGUCGUGGCCAAUAAAUUCUAGAGGGGACCAGAAAGAAAAAAUUUCCGACAAAUUUUUUUUUGACUUCUAUUAAUCAAAUAGCAGCAUUUCAUUGUAUGUGUGUGUGUGUGGGGGAGAGGGGAGGGGGGAGACACAUAACCUUUGCCUUAGCUCGAAAGAUAUUUCAAAUGCAGUUUGAACUUUGUCUCUGUUUCUCUCAUACUUACUGUAAAAGUCCUUGACAUAUCGCAACCCUAUAGAUCUGUAGCUUAGGACAAGGAUUUGAACAAAGUUGACUACCUGAGGCAGCACAAUGCUUGGCGCGGAAGGGGAAAAUUUUUUAUAAUCUUAAUUCUUCAAGAUCGCCGAAAAUUGCAUCCUUGGAAGCAAAUUUCAAUAAUAAAAAUUUAUUUUCAAAAUUAAUAUAUCCACUGGCGGAAAGCGAUGGUAUUAGUUGACUUCCUUCUUGUUUUACCUUAUGCAACAUAACUUCAUAAAUUUUCAAUCUGGGACAAAAUUUUCAAACUUGGUGAUAGGCACAAAAUUGGCACUGUCCUUGUCUUCAAUAUCAAAUAAAGAUGUUAUUUACGACCAAAAUUGCAAUUUCCAUAACCAAAUUUGGCCCUUGAAAAUUCGGAUUUUAACUGACAAGAUCCCAGCUGCAAAUCACUCUAUGGCAGAAAUCGGUAAAUCCUAAGAAAUUAUUUUGUUUUUGUGGGAAUCUAGUAUUUUCGUUACAAAAGUGAAUUGCUUCUCGAUAAUGCGACAACCAUUAUAGUCCAAGUAAUUUAUGUCGCUAAAAGGUUCGUUUCACUUCUCCUUUUAACCCACCAGUUUGAGAAUUUUCCGACAGAACAAUAAUUUUUACAAAAAUCUGUCAAAUUUUGGAAGCAGAGGGGGCCACGACGCCCCUGAGGCUUUAAAAGUUCAAUUCCUCUUACACAAAUACCAUAUUAAUCUCUACUAUCAUAGCUAUUAAGGUAGGGUUUCCACUAAAUAAAUAAAAUUGUGCGGCAGUCAAACUUUUUACAAGUCGUUACUACUUGUUUCUGCUUGUUUACUAGUUGUUUCUUCUUCUUUCUUCUUGUUUCUUAGUCGUUUCUACUGAUUUCCCGUUAUUGAAACCACGUGGAGUUAACGGGUCUCACUUUUCACACACGUUGUCCCUUUUCUCGCAUUUUUCAGGUUUAUAGGGGAUGGGAUACCAACUCUAUGGAGUUGUCAAGUGAUCACGUCAACAAAAUCUGUUUUUAGAAUUUUUUUAAUUUUUUCUGAUAACCUGAAAGAGCAUCAUGAAAUACCUCUAAAUCUGCAAAAUCAGUAAAAGGUAUCACAAAUUGGCUGAGAAAUGACUAGAUGAGCACAAGAUCUUGAUAAACUUUAUGAACUGAGCCAAAAUAACAGUAAUCUGUUAGCAAACUUCAAAUCUUUCAUUAGACAUAUCUCACCUGAUUUUUGACAAAUUUAACCGAUUUUGCAUAAAUGGGAGUAUUCUAUGGUGUUCUUUAAUGCAGUGUGGUCAAAAUUUGAAAAUUCUGAAAAUAGUUUUUUGUGACGUCACACUUUAGAACUCUAUUACCCAGAACUUUUGCUCUACACGCAAACAUUAUUACAAGAAGAAAAGGCAACUUUUGUGUCUUAAGACAGGGCAACCUCUCCAAAGGACUUUCUAAAAAUGCUCCUUAGCAAAGAAGUAAAGUCAGCUUUACACCCAUUUUAUUCUUUACCAAACCCUCUAUAACCAUCUCAAGGAUCAUAUUUUCUUAACGUAAGAAAUCUGGGUAAAAUUUCAUUUCUAGGUAAAAACCUUUGAUAUUGUGCUAUCAAAGAUGUUUGAAGUUCCUUUCAAUUACUUUUCAAAAUUAUCAAUGCUAUUUGGCUCUGGGUGGCUCUGGGUGGCUCUGGGUGGCUCUGGGUGGCUCUGGGUGGCUCUGGGUGGCUCUGGGUGGCUCUGGGUGGCUCUGGGUGGCUCUGGGUGGCUCUGGGUGGCUCUGGGUGGCUCUGGGUGGCUCUGGGUGGCUCUGGGUGGCUCUGGGUGGCUCUGGGUGGCUCUGGGUGGCUCUGGGUGGCUCUGGGUGGCUCUGGGUGGCUCUGGGUGGCUCUGGGUGGCUCUGGGUGGCUCUGGGUGGCUCUGAAAAGCCCUGGAGUUGGGAUGUUCAACUGUUUGCUAAUGUCAAUUUGCAAAUAUUUUGAAGCUCCGAUGAGAGAAACGAGGAUUCCAUUAAAUGACAAAGAAUUAGGCAUGACCAUGACACUUGAAUAAAGUUUAAAUUAGGAACUGUUUUGCGAGGGAAAUGAUGGACGCCCAUAGCCCUUGGUUUCUUUGAUUUCUGAGGAAGGUGUCCAAAGCUUGAGGAAAUCGUCUUGAGGAAGAAUUAACACUUUUUUGGACUCUGGGCAUAUCGUGUCAGGCAAAAUAUAAUGAACAAUGAACAUAUGAACAAGUUGAAACAGGUUUAUAUUUGAAUCUUAUCUUGACAUUGUAAAAGACUUAAAAACACAAUGUCCAGCCUCGUUAUUAGUUUUUACUAUAACUAGGUCGAACAACAAACUUGCAAUUGACCUAUACAUUAUUGUAGAAAAUUACUUUUCCUCUGUAAUACUUGGUUACGAGCCAAUUGAGCGUUUGCACCAUUGGAAUCUCAGUUACUAAAAUGGAAAACUAGUUUACGUGCCAUCUCGGCCAAGAUAUCAAUCAAUAAAAAUAGAGAAAUUUGCUAUGGGAAAUAAAUUUUAAUAGAGUGGAAGAAGUUUACAAAUUUCGAUAAGUGCCCCUUUCUUCACUAUAAUUGCCUUUUUUUAAUCCCGAGGAAGAAGUAUUCAAUUUCAAACACAAAAGCAAAGUAUGCCUUUCAACGUUGGAACAGCGACGGGGGAUUCUUCCUCCUUUUGCAGAAAUGACAUUGGAUGAUUCAUUGCUCGUUUUAGCCAAUCACUGCCUUAGAAAAGCAAGACAAAGGUUACAGGAUGUAUUAUAAACAAUCGAGGUACUUCCAAGGCGCAUUGGUGAAAGAAGCAGCUUAGAUCUGGCUGAAAGUAAACAUGGCGGCUGUAAAGAUCUGUCUAAUGCUAGUCGUGACCUUCACGGUAUUGCUGUCAGUUAGAGGUAAAACACCGAAACAAGAACUUAUUGGGCGUUUUCUUUGGUUCCGAUCGUUAAACUUCAGACAAUACUUCAUCCGACACAAAAAUUUCUUGGUCCAUAUCGAACGCCGUCAACACACCAAGCGCUUUCUAUUGGAUUCAUUGUGGAAGAUAGUGCCUGGCCUGUGUGGUAGAGGGAUCAGUUUUCAAGCUUACACAAACAAGAACUACUACCUGCGCCACAGAAACUACCUGGUACGGUUAGACAAAUAUGAAAACACCCGCGGAUUCAAGAAUGAUGCCUGUUUCAUUGCGCGCCAUGGUCUCGCAGAUCCAAAACUCUAUUCGUUUGUGGCAGUUAAUCCCAAAGGUUACGUGUUGCGUCAUCAAGGCUUCAGAAUGAAGAUAUCUCGGAAUGACGGCACACUUUCAUUAAAGCAGGAUGCUACAUUUGACCAUUUCCCAUAGAGGACCUGCGCAAGAGCAUUGUACAGCCUGGGGAAGAUGAAGAAGUAAAUGAACAUGCGCUGGAUUUUUUAAGUUUCUUUGCUUUCGAUAUAAACUCUUUAUUUACAUAUUUUCACUCUUCUGCUGAGGCGAGCUUCCGGUUAUGAACAUAUUUCUGUAGUAGUUUCAAAUGAAGCAAAGUCUAUGCUGUAAACAA